AGAAAACAUAUAAUUUAUAUAAUACUUAUACAUGCAUUUCUUUGAUGCUCUGCCUUUUAAUUACAGGUAUUUGAGAUAAAUGUAUUUUACUAUAAAUUUGCUUUUAAGAGAUAAUACAACCAUCAAGUAAUCUCUCCCAAAUUGUUGUACAAAUUCCAUAAGGUAAUAAACAAAUAUAAUUAAUUUUGUCUAGAGAAAUAUCUAAUGGCUUUAACUAUAUUUUCAUUUGAGAUGUUUCUUCUUAUCAAGGUCCAAUAAUUUGUUAGAUUCUAAGGUUUUCAAGAAUUGUUCCAAGGAAAAAACAGAAAGAGUUCUAAAAGGAAAAGAAGAUACUUACACAGAGAGGAAGCACACAUUGGAGGUCCUAAGAGGAAGAAGUGAAUCAUCUUUGGGUAAAACAAGGUCUGGAUUUUAAUGACAAAACUAUUUUCCUAAAAAGGAAUAUCUGUAUAUGAUUAUGUAGACAGAUGAUAUAGAAAGUUAAAACAAUUGAAAAAGAGAUUUAUAUGUACUGGACUGACUAUAAAAAUUUUAACUAAUUCAAGAGUAUUUCAGGCUAUAUUCUUGAUUUCACUGUGCUGAUGUGAGUUAAGAUUUUGUCCAUAUUUUGACAGAAUAAAGACCUACUAAAAUGUUACGUGUAUUUUCUUUAAGGAAGGGUUUUAUUGCCUAAUGAUUCUUAUUGUUACAGCAAGGAUUAAUUUUAGUAAAUAAAUUCACAUCCUUGAUUAAACACUAAAUAUAUUAAACUACUGACUUAGAUUCCAAAUUUGACAAUUAUCCUUUGAGACUAAAUUUGAUUGAUUCAAAGACACUGCUGAAAUUUACAAAUUCCCUUUUUUUUGCUAGAUAUUUGUGAGAUUUGGAAGAACAUUGAUAUUCUCCAAAUUAAAGUCAUAGAUUGCUUUUGAGCAAUAAAGGUUGCAAACUUUGCUGGAAAUUCAUUAGUGUUUUAUAAGUUCUUUGACUGGACCUGUUAUUUAUUUUAAAAAUGGUAAAAUUUACAUACUACUCCCUACACUGGGAAGUAAGCUUAAUCGUAUUUCCUCAAAGACAAUUAAGAGAUACCUAUUUAAAGGAUAAUAUUCUUAGAUAUAGAAAUAUUUUGGAAACUUCUCUCAAGAAGAGAUUGAGGGCUCCCUAUAAUUUAAAUUACUGAUAUUAUGAUUUAUAACAGUCUUUUAAAUAAAGAAAAAGAAAAAAAAACAGGACCCCACAAGCACAUACUAGAUCUUACAAAUAUUUAAAAAAAUUUUUUUUCUUAAAUUGUAAUAUUGAGAGUUUUAUUGUUACUCAACAUGAUUCAGUAAAUUAAAUCAGAUUUUAAAAGAGAGUUGAAACCUCUCAUCAUGAAAAUGACUGUAGGGCCUGAAAUUGUAAGGUAAAUCUCACCACUGCAGAAUUUAGAGCCAUGCAGCUUCAUGAGCUUAUCAGGCAAGUAAAAAUUAUGAAGAGACUUGCAUGGACCCAUUUCUCAGGUCCACCUUUAAUGUGCCUUGAAGUGUGGACUGAAAAGUCCACCCAUGAACUAGAUUAAUUGUACUGACUGUAAUGUUCAAUUAUUCCUAUAUGUUGAACUUAUGGUACACAGACUCUCUGGGAUUAUCUUUUGAGAAAAAGACAGCAUGUAAGAAACCUAAACCAGCCAAUCAUGCUGGUCCUUAAAAGUUAAGAUGAUAUUUACUUUUCUGGACAAUUGUCAGAAAGAUUAUUAAAAUAGUUUUUAUUCUACACAGGCCAGUUAUUUAUGUAAGAUAUCCACCAACAUAUUAUUCUCCUACUCAUUCUACAAUAGGAAUUGUAGUAUGGAUAGUUGGUGCAAAUGUCUUGCCAGUCAACCCAAGAUAUCUAGAAAUAGUGGAUAUAUUUUAGACUGGUCUCCCAGAAUUGACAAAGCUGAUUAUGCAAGGAUGCCAUAACACAUGAAGGUUUAUUGGUAAUAACCUAGCCCUUCAGUGAGUUGGCACCCAAAAGGAUGUUUUGAUGUUUGACUUCUACCUUCAAAAUAUUUACAUUAUUGACCUAAAAAAAACUCAUUAAAUGUGAGAAUUAACUAAAAGGAUGAUGUAUAUCCUGUAGUCUGUAAGAAUGCAACUUGUCUUAUUGUAUCACUAGUUAUUGCCUGCUAAUAUUUCAGAGCUAUAAUAUGCUGAGGUUAACAUUCAGGCUUUGAAACAGGUGCAUGCUAAUUAACCAGACCUAGGCAAGCUCCUGCUCUCAUGAUCCUUGAAGUGACUACAUUAAAUAUAAUUUCCUGCUUCUGUAAUUAUAGUCUUUAUGGCUAUGUUUUAAACUUAGAACAUGUGAAUUUUCUUAAGAUUUGAUUUAAAUCACUUCCAAGAUCCUUCAUAGUCAAUUAAGUUCUGAUGGAAGAAUUGGAACUAAGUUAAAAUGCUCUAGAAGACAAUAUACUGAAUAAUGCAAAUGAGCCUUCUGCUCUAUGGUUUGUGGAUAGGCUUAAAUGCCAUGCGAAUUAAAUAAUCUUUGUUAAUAUGGCCAAAUGCAAUGCUUCCCAAUAAAAUUGAAAAAAGAUUAAAAAUCUUCUGAUGAGUGUUUGUCAGAGUAAAAAUAAUAACUUGGAUCUUGCAAGUUGAUUAUAUUAUUGAAAUGAUAUGUUUUCUACUAAUUCCUUUUGUGAUUCAAUGGUAGAUUAUGUUGAACUUGGAAUGUAACAAUUAUAAGACAUACAUAAGCUUCUUUAUAUUUUGCUUUUAAUUUUGAAGGUUUUGAGGAGACAUUUGCUUGUCACAGGAACAAAAGCCGGCAAUGUCCCUAUGAUAAUCAAAUAAUCCUCAUUCUCAUUCCUGAGUAUAAAAUUACAAGACAUAAGUCAAUGUAUACAGAAGAAUCUUAUUAUGUAUGUCACAAAUUUAAAACAAUCACUACUAAUCCAAGAAAAAUUAAAAUGGAUCCAAAUAUCAUAAGAACCACGUGGUUGCAUAAAGUUAAUACUAUUAUAAGUAAUGCCCUUAUUCUUAAUACAUAUUUUUCUAGGAAUUUGGACAACCUGUAGUUGUUAAUUCAUAAAAUAAUUAGCAUAUAUAUCUAAUUGUUUAAUUAAUAUGUAUUUAUGUAAUUGUUUUUCUUCAACAGAAAACACAUAAUUUAUAUAUUACUUAUACAUGCAUUUCUCUGAUGCUCUGCCUUUUAAUUACAGGUAUUUGAGAUAAAUGUAUUUUACUAUAAAUUUGCUUUUAAGAGAUAAUACAACCAUCAAGUAAUCUCUCCCAAAUUGUUGUACAAACUUUAUAAGGUAAUAACAAAUAUAAUUAAUUCUGUCUACAGAAAUAUCCAAUGGCUUUAACUAUAUUUUCAUUUGAGAUGUUUCUUCUUAUCAAGAUAUAAUAAGUUGUUAGAUUCUACAGUUUUCAAAUAUUGUCCCAGAAAAAAAAAAAAAAAACAGGAAGAAUUCUAAAAGGAAAAGAAGAUACUUUCACAGAGAGGAAGCACAUAUUGGAGGUCCUAAGAGAAAGAAAUGAAUCAUCUUUGGGUAAAACAAGGUGUUUGUAUUCUGGAUUUUAAUGAUUAGAGUAUUUUCCUAAAAAGAAAAAUCUGUAUAGCAUUAUGUAGAAAGAUGAUAUAGAAAGUUAAAACAAUUGAAAAAGAGAUUUAUAUGUACUGGACUAAUUAUAAAAAUUUAAUUGAUUAAUUCAAGAGUAUUUCAGGCUAUUUUCUUGAAUCUACUGAUGUGUGCUAAGAUAUUGUCCAUAUUUUGACACACUAAAGACCUAUUAAAAUGUUACGUGUAUUUCCUUUCAAGAAGGUCUUUAUUGCCUAAUGAUUCUCAUUGUUUAAGGCAAGUAUUAAUUUUAGAAAAUAAAUUCACAUUCUUGAUUAAACAUGAAAUAUAUUUAACUGCUGACUUAGAUCCCAAAUUUGACAAUUCUCAUUAGAGACUAAAUUAGAUUGAUUCAAAGAACCUGCUGAAAUUUACAAAUUACUCUUUUUUUUUUUUGCUGGAUAGUUGUGAGACUUGGGAGAACAUUGAUGUUCUCCAAACUAAAGUGGUACAUUGGUUUUGAGCAAUAAAGUUUGCAAACUUUGUUGAAAAUUCAUUGGUAUUAUAUAAGUUCUUUGAUUGGACCUAUUAUCCACAAAAAUAUGGUAAAAUUUACAUACUACUCCCUACACUGGGAUUUACAUAUUACUACUAAGAUUUACAUACUAUUCCCUACACUGGAAGCUUAACCAUAUUUUCUUGGUGACUAAAUCAUGUAAUACCCCAAUUGCCUUUAAAUAUUAAUCAAGGGGAAUUUGUGGGUAGCCACUCCAAAUUAAGGCACCUUUAGUCCUGAUGCACCAUGGGGGUCUGAAAUAUCAAUAUAGUCUGGAGCAGAAGUGCCAUGACUCCAUCUUUUCCCAUGGUUGGAUAAUAAGGUAUGGCUCUGGGAGUAGCCCUAGGGGUAGGUGGUACCCAGAAGGGGUGAGUGUGGGAAGCCACUCUGAAUGAUUUAUGCCUCCCAUCCUGGAGGGGAGAGGCUUUGACAGGCACUAAAUAUUGUAGUGACCUGGACAUUGCCCUGGUCCUGGAAGUUUGAGGGCACGUCUUUAGAUGUAGGUCUCUCACCUCAUGGCCCUUUGGGUCAAAUUACACUCACCUGUCCUUUGUAACCCUGCCACUUCUGACCAUUUUUGGAUGGAAUUUCUAAGAAUAAGGGUCACUCAAUAAGAUUCCACAUCCAAAUAUGCUUACAGUCUCUCACCUGCCCCUUGCGACUUUCUCUUGCUCUCCCAUUUGAGGAGCCUGAGGCAGAGAACAAAGAAACCAUCCUGAAGUUUGAUUAAAGGUACAGUGUGUGUCUGUGUUUUUUUUUUUUGUUUUUUUUUUUGGUGUCCCUGGAAAUUCACAUGAGCAAACUUAAGUUAACUGCCCAUGUGGAAGCAGUUGAGCUACACUCACCUGUUCCCUUGUAAUCCUACCAUUUGCCUCAUUUGAAUGGCUUCUUCCCAAUGAAAGGGUUCAACCUGUGCUCCUCUCUCUCUUUGCACAGAUGCCAAGGUUGCAGGAGCCAUCACAGAACCCAAAGAAAAAAGGUAUUUCUCAAGAAAAAGAUAUUUCUCUGCCUCUGUGUGGUUAUUUCUUGCCUCCCAGUUCACCUGGAGUGACCUUGAGUGUUUAGUCAUGAGACUUUUCAAAACAUGGGUGUGUCUGUGAAAGAAACAUAAAGACAUGAGUACUGUUAUGAGAUUAAUACAAGAUAAAUGUUUCAUCAUCUGGAACAUGUCAAUGAAUAUCAUGAAGAUGAUAGAAAUCAAUAAUCUCUCACCAGGAGGUGUCAGAGUUGAGAAGUUGUCCUCAUAAUAAGACCUAAAAGGACAGAGAGGACAAAGCUAAAUUUGGGGAUGUAAAUCUUUAACCUGGUCACAGAUAUCAAGAAUGUAAACACAACAUUUAUUUAAGCUACUUAAUGCCACCUGAUUUUUGUAAAAUAUCUUUUUAUUGGAAUGACCUCUGUUUUCAUUUUAAGAGUAUUUGUUAGAUAUUCAAGAUCAAGCUGGUCAAAGUGAACUUGUUCUUAUCUAUCAUUAGGAGUCAGCUGAGUUCUCUUGGGGUCUCUGUUGGGGAACUAAUGAGCAGCUGUUUAGCUCUGCUAAUGCCAUCCAUCAGGAUAAGUCAAGGUCUCACUGACCAUGUGGCUUCCCUUGGAAACAUCAGGGAUAUCUCUCUUUUUCAAUGACAGUAAGUGUACUGAUUGGAUUUAUUUAAAGAUCCCAGUAAUCUACCUGAUUGGGGGGUCAUGUGACCCAGAGUUGCAAAGCUCUUAGAGAAUUUCCCUUGUUUCCUGGGUUCAAGCUGACUCAGAGGGCAAGAGCUAAAUAUUGUGUUUCUUGCCCCCACCCCAUCUUUUUAACCUUAAUCUUUAAGCCUUGAUCUUAAAUAUCCAGCAACCCAGUCUUAAAGUACGAGUACUGGGCUUUAACUUUAAUAUUUAUAACUUUACAGUCAUCUUUACCCCUUUUAUUUAAUUGGGGUCUCUAUUAGUAUUGGAAGUUAGCAUUAUAUAGUAUCUGUCUGUAGAUGAUGGCCUUAUAUUUCAAAUUAAUUUAGUUUGUUAUAUUUGAAGUUGUACUUUUGUAAGGCACUUUUGUAAGUAGUUAAAGUUUACAAGAAAAAUUUAAAAUGAAAUUAACAAGAGUAGAAAAAAAUAUUGUGUUUAUACAUAAUCUUAAACCUUAGCUGAGUUAUACAUUAUAUCCUAUGUUUGAGACUACAGUAAUCUUUAAAAUAAAUUAUCAAUCUUUUGAAUAAAAUUUGAAGUGAGAUGAGUCUGGCCUAACUGAUUGUGUUAGUUAACACAAUAUGACAUUAUCUGAAACAAGAAUUAAAGAAAGGCUAAGAAAGGUUUAACUUUCUUUUUGUGGAAAAAGUGGCAAAAAAUUUUUAUGUUUUACAAGAUUAAUCUUUAAGUAGGUCAGUCCCUUAUUAUCUUUUAGAAAUACAUUUACAUUUUUAUCCCAGUGUAACAAGUAACAUAAGGUUUAGAUUUGGUUACAGAACAUUCCUUGAUAUAAAUAAAUCCCCAAUAAAAUUUGUUAUCCUUAUAAGUCUAAAAUUAUCAUUAGAGACAACUUUAGUUUGGAGACCACUAGCUUGAUAAAAUGUUCUUUCAAAACUUUUUCUUUCAGAGUGGGGUUGUGGCUCAGCAGUAGAGUGCUCACCUAGCAUGUGCGAGGGAGGCCCUGGGUUCAAUCCUCAGCACCACAUAUAAAUAAAAUAAACAUAUAAAAAAUAAAAAAAUAAAGUUUUACUUUAAAGACUUCUAUGUCUGAAAUAUAUGAACACAUUUAAUAUACAAAGAAGUGUAACAGUGCCAUAAUUUCAUUGAUGUUUACAUAGUAAUCUGGUUUAGCUUUUAAAGAAAAAUAUAGACUCUGUAAUUUAGUACAAUACUCUAAAAUAACAAUAUAAACCCCGAUUUUUAACAGUAAUUGCUCUAGAUAGUAAAAGUUAACAGAUUCAAUGUUAAGAGUGAAUUAAUAUUUGAAAAAAAUCCUUGUCAUUUCAACAUAUGUAUUAAACUUUGGUUUAUAUCAGUACAUUAAUAUAUGACUUUAGGGAAAAACCUUGAGUAGAUUUAACUGAUAGUGUUACUUAUGUAUAACCAAUUUAAUUGCACACAAACAUUUUAAAGUUUACCCUUCAUUUAUAUAGACAUUUUUAUCAAUUAUAUUCUCUUUUUCUUUUUUUUAAUUUAGAUAUAUUCAACUUUACUACAUAAAGACUCUCUUACCCAGUGGAAGGUCCUAGCUUAGCAUCUGGAUGACCAUCUUAAGCAACAGCUGCCAUCUUAAGAAAAAGGUUUACUUUCCCACCCAAGGGUAGCUGACCAUUCUUUCAUUAUUCAGCCAACAUUAUCCUUUGUAAUCUAAUAAUGUCAAAAUUAAUGAAGAACAUGGGCACCUAAUUCUUGUUUCAUAGCCAGGUUAUUAGCUUCCAACACCAGAAGGGCCAUGACUGAAAGGGCCCAUAAGGAAGGUGGCCAGCCUUGGGCUACAUACAGAGUCCAGCUGUUUAGAUAGACAGUUCCACUGGAUGUGCCAUGUUCCCAGCAUUUGAGUCAGGACCCCCACAGCUAUUCCAUACCAUUCACGGACCUACAGGAAGAAAGGCUUUGUGAGGUCAGGGAGUCCUAGUCCAGGUGCAUUGGUGAGUGCUUCUUUAGUGUCCUCAAAGUCCUUUUGUUUUGUUGGCCCCCCCAAACAGAAGAUCCUGUUCUUUCCUUUUUGGGCCUUCACAGUGGGGUUUUGCCAUAACUGAAAAGUUGGAGAUCCAUACACAGCAGAAUUAAGUGGCACCAAAGAUCUCUGAUUUGACAGCAGGUUGAAGGGACUGGAAUUGAGCAGGUCACCUGUUUUCUCUUGUAGCCCAGUUGCCGCUGUCCCCGAGUAAUACACAAACCAAGGAACUUGGCUUUUCUUGAUAGAUCUGGGCUUUCUUUUUUGAAACUUUGUAACCAGCCUUACAUAGGAGAGUGAGAAGCAGCUGUGUUCUUUUUAUGCCAUCUUCUCUGGUUGCUCCAGCCAGGAACAGAUCAUCUACAUAUUGGAACAAUGUGCAUCCACAUUGUUUUGCAGGAAAGGCUUUUAAGUCAGAGGCCAGCACUAUCCCAAUGAUGGUUGAUGACUUUUUGAAACCUUGUGGUAACCUAUUCCAGGCCAUUUGGCCUUUGUUCCCAUUGGAGUCUUCUCACUGGAAGGCAAAGGGUGGCUGACUCUGGGGUACAAGUUGUCUGCAGAAGAGGGCAUAUUUAAGGUCCAGACAUGUGAAAUAGCCCACCUCAGCUGGGGGCAGACUUAGGAGAUUAUGUGGAUUGGGGAUCACAGGAUGUAGGGUGACUGUGGCUUGAUUUACUGCAUGUAAAUGUUGGACUAGCCAAUAAUCAUCAGUUUCCGGUUCUGGACAGGCAAAAGAGGUGUAUUUCAUGGUGAUUGUUGAGUUCUGAGAAUUCCAUAUUGUAAAAGUGUGUCCAAAUGUUUUUGAAUUCCAAAUUUUGCUGUAUAAGAAAUAUGAUGUUGUCUUAGGUUUCCAGUAUGGCUUCAAGUUUAAAUUUCAUCACCACUAGGAGAAAGUUUUGGGCUAGUCCAGGUGGGUUGGCCUCUAUACUUUAUACAAGAAGUCUAUACUUCUUGUAGUUGGAAAGGAAUGUCUGGUUCCUUUUGUGAUGUUUCUACUAGGCUGAAGAGGUGCCACUCCUCUUCCCAGGGAUUGUGAGGGUUAAAAUAUUUGCUUCGGGUUUUCUCAAUGAUACCAGUGACUGGCCUUUUGCAUUAACAAUUAUCUGGGCUUAGAGCUUUCCUACCAAGUCUCAACCUAUCAAUUGAACUGGGGAAUCUGGUAUGUAUAGAAAUUUUUGGACUACUUUGUGACCCUCAAUUUCAAUGCUGUGGUAACAGGAAAGGAUAAUCUGUUUUGUUUCCUGGGGCCCCCACAAUUGUGGUUUCUUUCUUUGAAAUUGGGCCCACAGGUUGGGUCACAACCAAAUGGUGAGCCCUAGCAUUCACCAUAAAGUCCAUAGGUUUGUUCCCUAUAAGCAUUUGAACCAUAGGCUUCUGGAGGCCCCAAAAAAUGGAGCCCAUUCAGUCAUAGACCUCAUCAUAAUUUUCCAUGGCUUCCAGUCCCACAAAUUUUUUC
rnacentral:lncRNA from 1 species